rnacentral:rRNA from 1 species
UACGUAGGGUGCGAGCGUUAAUCGGAAUUACUGGGCGUAAAGCGUGCGCAGGCGGUUUUGUAAGCCAGAUGUGAAAUCCCCGGGCUUAACCUGGGAAUGGCAUUUGGGACUGCAAGGCUUGAGUGCGGCAGAGGAGACUGGAAUUCCUGGUGUAGCAGUGAAAUGCGUAGAUAUCAGGAGGAAUACCGAUGGCGAAGGCAGGUCUCUGGGCUGACACUGACGCUCAUGCACGAAAGCUAGGGGAGCGAACGGG